AUUGAACGCUGGCGGCAGGCUUAACACAUGCAAGUCGAGCGGAGAUGAGGUGCUUGCACCUUAUCUUAGCGGCGGACGGGUGAGUAAUGAUUAGGAAUCUGCCUAUUAGUGGGGGACAACAUUCCGAAAGGAAUGCUAAUACCGCAUACGUCCUACGGGAGAAAGCAGGGGAUCUUCGGACCUUGCGAUAAUAGAUGAGCCUAAGUCGGAUUAGCUAGUUGGUGGGGUAAAGGCCUACAAAGGCGACGAUCUGUAGCGGGUCUGAGAGGAUGGUCCGCCACACUGGGACUGAGACACGGCCCAGACUCCUACGGGAGGCAGCAGUGGGGAAUAUUGGACAAUGGGGGGAACCCUGAUCCAGCCAUGCCGCGUGUGUGAAGAAGGCCUUAUGGUUGUAAAGCACUUUAAGCGAGGAGGAGGCUACUGAGACUAAUACUCUUGGAUAGUGGACGUUACUCGCAGAAUAAGCACCGGCUAACUCUGUGCCAGCCGCCGCCGUAAGAC
rnacentral:rRNA from 1 species